ACCCUAUUAUUAUAUUUUACUCAGUAAAUUUGACUUCCAAUCGAAAAGUCCAAAAAAAAUUUGGAUAGGGUA
rnacentral:tRNA from 1 species